GAUGAAGAACGCAGCGAAAUGCGAUACUUAGUGUGAAUUGCAGAAUCCCGUGAACCAUCGAGUCUUUGAACGCAAGUUGCGCCCGAAGCCGUCAGGCCGAGGGCACGCCUGCCUGGGCGUCACACGCCGUUGCCCCCCCGCGCCCCGCACCCAACUCUUUGGGAGCGACCGCGGGGCGGGCUGAUGAUGGCCUCCCGUGCGCUCCGCCGCGCGGUUGGCCCAAAUACCGAGUCCCCGGCGACGUGCGCCACGACGAUCGGUGGUUGAGAGACCUCUGUCGCAAGUCGUGCGCGCCCGUCGCGUCACGCGGGCUCGCAUAGCGCCUCGCGCCGCACCCGGUGCGGAGCUUUCAACGCGACCCCAGGUCAGGCGGGGUUACCCGCUGAAUUUAAGCAUAUCAAUAAGCGGAGGA
rnacentral:misc_RNA from 1 species